UACGGGGGGAGCAAGCGUUGUUCGGAAUCACUGGGCUUAAAGGGCGCGUAGGCGGGCAGGCAAGUCAGGGGUGAAAGCCCACGGCUCAACCGUGGAAGUGCCUUUGAUACUGCUUGUCUUGAGGGAGGUAGGGGCGUGCGGAACUUCCGGUGGAGCGGUGAAAUGCGUAGAUAUCGGAAGGAACACCGGUGGCGAAAGCGGCGCGCUGGACCUCUACUGACGCUGAGGCGCGAAAGCCAGGGGAGCAAACGGG
rnacentral:rRNA from 1 species